GGGCGAUUAGCUCAGGGGGAGAGCGCGUCCCUGACACGGACGAGGUCAGAGGUUCAAAUCCUCUAUCGCCCA
rnacentral:tRNA from 1 species